rnacentral:rRNA from 1 species
CCAGACUCCUACGGGAGGCAGCAGUCGGGAAUAUUGCACAAUGGAGGAAACUCUGAUGCAGUGACACCGCGUAUAGGAAGAAGGUUUUCGGAUUGUAAACUAUUUUAGACAGGGAAGAAAAAAGACAGUACCUGUAGAAUAAGCUCCGGCUAACUACGUGCCAGCAGCCGCGGUAAUACGUAGGGAGCAAGCGUUAUCCGGAAUUAUUGGGUGUAAAGGGUGCGUAGACGGGACAGCAAGUUAGUUGUGAAAGCCCUCGGCUUAACUGAGGAACUGCAACUAAAACUAUUGUUCUUGAGUGCAGGAGAGGAAAGCGGAAUUCCUAGUGUAGCGGUGAAAUGCGUAGAUAUUAGGAGGAACACCAGUGGCGAAGGCGGCUUUCUGGACUGUAACUGACGUUGAGGCACGAAAGUGUGGGGAGCAAACAGGAUUAGAUACCCCAGUA